UACGUAGGGUGCAAGCGUUAAUCGGAAUUACUGGGCGUAAAGCGUGCGCAGGCGGCUUUGCAAGACAGAUGUGAAAUCCCCGGGCUUAACCUGGGAGCUGCAUUUGUGACUGCAUGGCUGGAGUGCGGCAGAGGGGGAUGGAAUUCCGCGUGUAGCAGUGAAAUGCGUAGAUAUGCGGAGGAACACCGAUGGCGAAGGCAAUUCCCUGGGCCUGCACUGACGCUCAUGCACGAAAGCGUGGGGAGCAAACAGG
rnacentral:rRNA from 1 species